rnacentral:rRNA from 1 species
GACGAACCGUGCUAACGUUGUUCGGAUUCAUUGGGCGUAAAGGGUGUGUAGGUGGCGCCGUAAGUCGGGUGUGAAAUUUCGGAGCUUAACUCCGAAACUGCAUUCGAUACUGCGGUGCUUGAGGACUGGAGAGGAGACUGGAAUUCAUGGUGUAGCAGUGAAAUGCGUAGAGAUCAUGAGGAAGACCAGUGGCGAAGGCGGGUCUCUGGACAGUUCCUGACGCUGAGGCACGAAGGUCAGGGGAGCAAACGGG